UCCUUCUUAGCUCAGCUUGUUAGAGUCCCGCUAAAGCGGGAUUAAUCAUGAGGUCCCUGGUUCGAACCCAGGAGAGGGAG
rnacentral:tRNA from 1 species